rnacentral:tRNA from 1 species
GCUUUCGUGGUGUAACUGGAAACAUGUCCGACGCGUAAUCGAGAGGUCCAUGGUUCGAAUCCCGGCGAGGGCA